rnacentral:lncRNA from 1 species
UGGACCGGGGCCUGGACGAUGGAUAAUCGGAUUUGCUCGCAUAACCGGGCUGCAAUUGGCAACCGACACGAGAUAUCCGCCGUGGAUCGUAGGUUAACGGUACAGUGUGCACCGUUCAGUUUUAUAUCAUCCCCUCUCGCCCCUCGCCCGCGUUCAUCCCCUACCGAUCCCAGCCUCCCCGCCGCCCCCUUGCACUCCCCCACCGCGGCUCUCACCCCCUGAAAUUGUCAGUGCUGCAUUCUGUAGUCCAAUCUGUGCUUGCUUGAGGAAUUAGGGCAGUGUGUCUUGGGCGUCGGAGCUCGCCGUGUGCGUCUCGCCUCCCGUGAACGCGUGAGCCUUUCGCAAUCCCUGUUGAUUGUGUGCGUGUUCCUGUUCCGGUCCCGAGUGUCGGCUUUUUCCGUUCUCGCUCCUGCCCCGUCGUUAACCCUCUUUCCGGGGGGUCCUCCCUUCGCUUCCCGCCGUGUCCCGUAUGUUUUCCGCGUAAUUUUAUCGAUUGCGCCCAUCUUCUCCGCCGAGUUCUGUCGCUUCCGGCUUUUUUCUUCGCCGGAGUGAAAUGUCAGCCGGGGCACUUUACUCCGCGUCGGAUACAUGACGUCAUGCGUCAGUCGACUCUGAUUAAAUCCGAAAGCGAUUGCUCCAGCGCAAAACGAAUCCGAACAAUGCACCCUCUGACCUUAAUGAAUCAGGAUUUUUCUGUAGCCGAGCGCUGUUUACGGAAUUCCGAGAGCGACCGACACCGCGAGAGUGCGAGACGGGGAGCGAAAUGAAAUAGUUUCGACGCGAGUGGGAUUUGUGUGGGCGUCGGAUAGAUAUCGGCCCUUUGACUUUUUUCCGAGGGAUCUGCUCGCUCUUGCGCCUCGACCAUGUUGUCGUUGCACGGGGUGGAUAUGUGCAACAUGUGCCCACGCAAACACCAAGACAAGCACUCGUCCAAGCUCGUUCGUUUCCACUCUAUCGUCGACACUUACCCAGGAGCCGCAGCCGCCGCCGUUUCAGCCCGUCACAAGGUAAUGCUCACAAUUCCCAUCAUCUCAUCUGGUCGUAAGUACCUACUAAUUAUUUCCAAGAACCCUCUGCAUCGACGAGAAUGGUUUCUCUUUUUAAUGGUCCCACUUUUUCCGGGGCUGAGCUUUCACUUUAAUUCAAGGAAGCCUCUCCAAGCCCGUCACUCUGCUUCACAUUUAUCUUCCCUGACUUACGACGGCAAACAAGUCCCAUUUCAAGAGGUCUAAUGUCUCCGCGCAUUUUUUCAUUUGUUCGGAUAUUCCCCUCUUCUUUAUCAGACUGAUGGUAUGUGUCACAGGCAAAUAGUCAAAUCAGGCAUUUAAUCAGAUGCCCAAGCAGAUAGUCUGAUAGUUUACGAAGUUUUGUAAAUUUAUGACGAAAAGCUCUCAAGUUUCCAAUAUUCGGGAAAAUAACUCGUCAAACCCACGAACUCUUCUUGUUUCUCCCUCUUAAAAUGCUUCAUCUAUGUUUAAAUUUUAAAAUUUUGAAAAUUCUGUACUCUAUGACAUGCUGAACUUUUCAACGUAAAUGUUCACUCAGGAGCUAAAAAUCGUUAAAAUAAAUACCAUAUUACGAUUAAAUUUUUUUUUAGGAAUUUUUUUCUUGUAGAAACAAUGAAUUAUUCUGUCUAAAAUUAGGGAAAGAAUCAGAAUUGCAAUCUAAGUGAGAAUAUUUUUACUAUUUGCCUGCGACUGCUGCUACUGCUGCAUCGCAUUUAUACAGUUUUAAGUGCUCAAGGUUAGGUUUGCGUGAGAUAGACAUGAAAAACUCAUUCCCUAAUCAGAUUAUUACAAGGAAACUCAAGCCCGAAAUCCUGCCCUUUCCCAUUUCACUUCCUUCUGUCAAAUUCAAUCUUCAAAUUACGAUUUCUGUGACAAUCGUGACUUUAUACCAUUAAUGUUUUCCUAGGGGAAUCAACCUCGUAUUGAAUGAUGCAUGAGAUUUAUCUACUCGGGCCCCAACUUAUUCUUGAAGUAAAGCAAUGCUCACUUGCCAGCCAACUAUCGCAACUCUCAUCACUUAAAAAUAUAAUGUUGAAUAUUCGCAUGAAGUCGAGUGCGGUAAAAUCAGAUGUAAUAACGGAACAAUUUUCUAUCAAGAAGUGAAAUGGAUGUAGAAACGCCGCACAGUGGAUCGAGUCAAUGAGAGACGUCGGACAUGAUUUAAAGACUUCAAAAGCGUACAUCCUCAUCAAUAUAACAUGUUAACGUUUUAGAAGGAGUUUCCUUGGUUUUCUCGUAAAAUGUUCUGUAGAAAGCACCCCUAAAAUUUAAAAUUGUGACGAGAUAAACGUAAAAUUUUACAAUUUUUGUGAAAAAUUUCAUGUCCGAUUUCUUCCAAAGACUCACUCCACUGUGCGCCGUCGCCACUGAAUUGAGGCAGAAACGCACGAGUAAUGUGAUUACUUACUGAAUCAGGAGUCUCAAUUUGCAAACCAAACAGGCUCCUCGAAGCCUAUUAAAAGGGAAAAUUCCCUGUCUCGAGAACUAGAAAACGUAGAAUCAAGUUUUAAUCCUCAAUAUAUCCUUUCUCACGUCGCAACAUUGUCAAAUCAACGACUUAAACAGGAUUUUGAAAGCGUUCAUGUUGCGGCAUCCUAACCCCGAGUCCGAAAAUCAAUGAAUAUUCCGUGUUAAUCUUACUUUGGAUUCCUGUAAUGCGUUUGAGAGUAAAAUAUAGUGUGUGUGGAUUCUAUCUCUGAGAUAGUAUGCUCUUUUUGCUGCAAUUAUUAUAAUCAAUAAGUAAUAUUAACAUUUCAUUAAAAAUUGCCGCAUGUUCAAUAAAAAGUAGGAUUGCGAGUUUCAAUCCUCGGUAUGUUUAACAUGAGCGUAUUGUAAUCAGAAUCAGCCAAACUGAAUUCCACGUUUCUUGAUUUCUUUCCAUAUUUUAUAUUGUUAAUAGAAAGCGAAGCAACAUCGUAACUUGAAAUUCUGUGAUUUUUCCUUAAAAAUCGAGGAAAUACCUUUAAAGUGUUUUAAAGCGUUAUGUUUUUUUUAAAUUCUUUCAGCAUUGUAAACCUUGGGUGGGAAUUAGGUAACGCAAAAUGCAGUAAGCUGCUUCCGGUAAAUAUUACCAUUUUCGGUUAAAGGAAACCUGAAAAAGUCGGCGAGUUUUCGCCGUGACGUAGAAACACACGGCUGUCCCCAGCGUAUCGACGGUGAAACUACCAGACCACGUAUCUCGAUUUGCGACGUCGCAGACUUCCUGUCAUACUUUAUUUUAUGAAUGGAAAACUAACCAGCGUCAAUACUUGAAAACU